ACCCCCACUUUAUAACAAAAGAGUUACAUAACCCAAGAGUCACAAGAGUUACAUAACUCAAGAGUCACAAGCUUGUCCAUCAUUAACUAAGGUUACCCUUUUGGGUAUCUACUCAUUAGUCCUACACUUUAUAUGACAACACAUUGGCCCCCUUAACAUAAUGUCCAUAAGACCACAAAAUUAGGCCAAACCAAAAGAUAGCACAUAACAUANN
rnacentral:lncRNA from 1 species